UAACAGUUGGAAACGACCGCUAAUACCGCAUAACCCGCUGGUGCCGCAUGGCACUGACGGAAAAGAUUUAUCGGUGUGAGAUGGACCCGCGUCUGAUUAGCCAGUUGGCAGGGUAACGGCCUACCAGAGCGACGAUCAGUAGCCGGCCUGAGAGGGUGAACGGCCACAUUGGGACUGAGACACGGCCCAGACUCCUGCGGGAGGCAGCAGUGGGGAAUAUUGCACAAUGGGGGAAACCCUGAUGCAGCGACGCCGCGUGAGUGAAGAAGUAUUUCGGUAUGUAAAGCUCUAUCAGCAGGGAAGAAAAUGACGGUACCUGAUUAAGAAGCCCCGGCUAACUACGUGCCAGCAGCCGCGGUAAUACGUAGGGGGCAAGCGUUAUCCGGAUUUACUGGGUGUAAAGGGAGCGUAGACGGUGAUGCAAGUCAGAAGUGAAAGCCCGGGGCUCAACUCCGGGACUGCUUUUGAAACUGUGUAACUGGAGUGCAGGAGAGGUAAGCGGAAUUCCUGGUGUAGCGGUGAAAUGCGUAGAUAUCAGGAGGAACACCAGUGGCGAAGGCGGCUUACUGGACUGUAACUGACGUUGAGGCUCGAAAGCGUGGGGAGCAAACAGGAUUAGAUACCCUGGUAGU
rnacentral:rRNA from 1 species